GGAUUAGAUACCCUGGUAGUCCACGCCGUAAACGAUGAGAACUAGAUGUCAGGGGCAUUUGGCCUUUGGUGUCGCAGCUAACGCGUUAAGUUCUCCGCCUGGGGAGUACGCCGGCAACGGUAAAACUCAAAGGAAUUGACGGGGACCCGCACAAGCGGUGGAGCAUGUGGUUUAAUUCGAUGCAACGCGAAGAACCUUACCUGCCCUUGACAUUGACAGAAUCCUGUAGAGAUACGGGAGUGCUUCGGCCUGGAAAACAGGUGCUGCAUGGCUGUCGUCAGCUCGUGCCG
rnacentral:rRNA from 1 species